GCAUGAAGUCGGAAUUGCUAGUAAUCGCAGAUCAGCAUGCUGCGGUGAAUACGUUCCCGGGCCUUGUACACACCGCCCGUCACACCAUGGGAGUCGGUAACACCCAAAGUUGGUAGCCUAACCGCAAGGAGGGCGCCGCCUAAGGUGGGAUUGAUGACUGGGGUGAAGUCGUAACAAGGUAUC
rnacentral:rRNA from 1 species